rnacentral:lncRNA from 1 species
GCCUGCGCCGCUCCUCGCCUUCGCAAGUUCGCUCCUGGGGGCCGGGGCCGGCCGGUGGUGGUGUCUCCGCCGGUCGACGGCUGGAUCCGAGUCUCACGACGUCGGCGUAAAUUUGGUAAGUUUGCUAUUGCAUCUCCUGAUCCUGGUGUAUUGGGUUGUGCUCCUGAUGGGGAGCGUGGAGGCUCUCCAUCUCCUUCUCCGACUACGUUUGCGGUGGCUUCUUCGCUGGUGGUGGCGACGGCGGGGGCGCUGGUCGCUCCGUGUAACCUAGAUCCAGAUCUCGGUGCGGUGCCCUCCGGACCGCGGGCCAUGUCCCCGUGUGGGCUUGCUGGGCCUGGCGGUGUGGUGAUGGCUAGUGGGCCUUCCUCCCCACGUGGGCCGCUGGUUAGUGGGCCUUCCCCCCUCCUAUCCUCUCUUUUGUGGUCGAUUUCCCCCCUCUCGUUUCGGUUGGCCCAGUUGGGCCCACCGCCCGGCUACCAGUCCCUCAUUCUCCUUCGGCCCAUUUGGCGAGUCGGGCCCAGGUGGGCACGGCUCGCUCGGGCUAUUUAUGGAUCCCACGCGGUUCCAUUCCCCCCUGCUAGGGUUUCUUGCCUCCGCCUCUGACCUGCACCGCCAUCGUCUUCCCAUCCGCCGCAUCAUUAGAUCCCCCCCACCUCACCCCUCCUUCUUCCUUUUGCUGCGGUGAUCUCCAUGGACAAAUCUAGGGGUUCUUCCUGCGAGGCGCUCUCGGGCAGCAAGCGGCGCCGCGAGGACUCCCCUGCCUCCGCAGUGGAUCUGGAGCUUGAGGCUUCGCUCCACUCCAAGCUGGAGUCGGAGCAGGCGGCGCGCGAGCAGGCUGCUCAUGCCCGCAAGGCCUGGGCUUCGGGUCCGGAGCGGGUGCAGCGCUCGGAGAGGGACGGUGCGACUGGAUACGGCCCGCAGGGCUCUGGAUCUGGUCCUUCUCCCUCUCCAGCGCUGGAUCCGUGGGAGGCGGCGGUGGCCUCCGGCGGUGGGGUGUCUUCAUCCUCUGCCUCCCUUCCCGUUCAGGGUGCGGGGCGUGGCUCGUCUGCCCCGUCGCGCCCCUUGCCUCCCCCGCCUCCUCGCUCGUUUGGGGCAGGAUCUGGCUUUCGUCCGCCGCCUCGGUCCAUCGCGGGGCCGGCGCGUCGGCCGCCUGGUCCGGCCUCGGGGGCGCCCCUCCCUCCGGGAAUGGGGGAUGGGAUUCUUCCUCCUCCCCCGUUGCCUCAGCAACCUCGUCCCUCCUCUACCUCCCACAGCAACCCAUCGGUGCUCACCUGCUUCGCUUGCCACAGGCCUGGGCACUUCCAGUCUCGCUGCACUAAUCCCCCCUUCUGCUUGAUCUGUCGCUCUGAUGGUCACCACACGCUCAACUGCAUGGCUAGGCAGAAACCUCCCGUGGUCCUCCAGUUCGGCUUGGGUCUCCCUGGAUGCGCCUUCUUCGCCUUCGAUGGUGACCUUCCUGUUCGGGAGGUGGCACCUGCGCUUUCCAAUGCAGCAAUUGUCUCGGUCAAGGACCAAAAGAUCUCGCCCCAAAUUCUUCUAGAAGGGCUUCGCAUCUGGGAUGUGGCUGGAUGGGACUGGCAAGUCGUGCAGAUGUCUUAUUUUGAUUUCUCUGUGGUGUUCCCCUCCAAAGAAUGCUUGCGAAUGAUUGCUUCUUGCACCAGCUUCACCUUGCCUCUCAAUCAACUCGUGGUUUCUGUUAAAGUGGCGUCUUACAAUGGUACUGCAGUUGGCCCUCUUUCUCAAGUGUGGGUGUUGAUCGAUGAUUUGCCUGCUGGUCUUCACUCGCCUGCUUUCCUCAUGUCCUUUGGGGUGUUGAUUGGGAAACCCAUUGAGGUGGAUGAGGAUUCUUUGAACAAGGUUGGUCCUGCUAGGAUGAAGGUUUGGUGUGUUGAUCCUGAACGGGUGCAUGGCUCUAUAGAUGUGUUCCCAUCCCCCAAUGGUAUUAGGCUUCGGGUGCGGGUGGAGGGGGCGGCAGCUUUCCUAGCCCCACCUUCCCCCUCCUCCUGCUAAUCCCUCGGACAAGCAUGACAAGGAGGGGGAUGGCUCUCUUGGUGGCCAUAAUCAGAGUUUUGGGUCUAACCUCCGAUUCACUCAAUCUGAAUGGGAUGGUCUGGCAGACUCCGAACUGAAUUGUUUCAAUCCCAAGCUCCUUUUGGUGAUGCUCCUCGUGAUGAAUCGAUGAUCCCCCCUGCUGCUCAGACUGCUCCAACUGCUGUUGCUGAUCUGCCAAAGGUCCCGCCUUGCUCGGCUACCCCAGUGUUUGGUGCAUGCUCCAAUCUUCCUGCUCGCCCUCUUUCCCCCACUCGUUCGGGGAUUGAAGAUCUCCCGGUCUCUCCAGCUCGCGAUAUGGUGGAAUCCCAGCCUCUCACGAAGAAGAAAUCCUCAGUGCGCAAGUUCUCGGCUAAGAGCCGGAACUCGUCGGGCUCGAAGCAAUCCAUGAUGGGGAUUUGUCGGCGUCUUGAUCAAGAUUUGGGCUCCAUGUCCCGCUCGGGUCCCCAUGUUGGUUCUCCUGCUGCGCGGUCGCCUGCUAUCCGGUCUCCGGUGUCCACGGCCCGCAAAGGAAGGCGGGUGGCGCACUCUGGUGAGUCUAUCCUGGAAAGGGCGGAGAAGCGGGCUGCGGCAAAGGAUCUCCCUCCCCCAGGUACCUCCCCAGCCUCUUCUGUCGCUGUUUCUCCGGUUCGGGUGGUUUUACCUUCUAUGUCUGAUGAUCAUCUUUUAAAUAUUAUGUCGGAUGUGGGUGUGGUGGUUGACUCCUCUGUUGGUUCUCCUAGUUUGCUUCUUGCUAUUAUUCGGGCUAAUGAACUGGCUCAGGCAGCCAUUGCCAAAGCCAAAGAGACUGUUGCCUCGCGGGUCGAGGAUGCUGGUUGUGAUGCGGGGGUGGCUUCGGGUGCUGGUAGUGCCCAACCCCUUUCCAGCCUAUCCAAGAGGGGCACUAAUAAACAUGCUAAAUCCUGCAUGGCCCCUUGCAGGUCGAGCCUCCGUAUCAAGAAUCUUUCGUAUAAAUGAGGGCGUUAUUCUGGAAUAUUAGGGGGUUCGGCGCUAGGGGACGCGACCAACUUAAAGAUUUGGUUCGUUCUAAUUCUAUUGAUUUCGUGGGGCUGGUUGAAACUUUCAAGGAUUCCUUCUCCCUUAAUGAGCUAUCUGCUAUUGUGGGUAUGGACAGAUUUAACUAGCAGUUUUUACCUGCUUCGGGCCACUCUGGUGGGAUCUUGAUUGGUUCUAAUAAGGAUAUUUUCGAUUUUGUUGCUUUUGACCAUGGGUUUUUUGGGCCAGUGUUGUUCUUUCUCAUAAAUCUAUGAAUACCCUUUGUGAGUUUAUCGUUGUGUACGGGCCUUCAGAUCACUCUCUGUCGACCCUAUUCCUUAAUGAACUCUCGAUCAAGAUUGAGUCCUGUAAUUUACCGAUGGUUAUUGGGGGAGACUUUAAUCUUCUGCGGUGCCCUCUUGACAAGAACAAUGAUAAUUUUUCUUGGUCUUUAGCUAAUGCUUUUAAUGACUUCAUUAGUGCUAACGCCAUCCGUGAGCUUCCUCGAGGGGGGGGGCGCUUUACUUGGUCUAAUCAUCAGGCUAAUCCUAUUAGAUCCGUGCUUGAUCGUGUCUUCCUAUGUCCCAGGUGGGAUUCCUUGUUCCCUAGGUCUUCUCUUUUCGCAAAAUGCAUUGUCGGGUCUGAUCAUACCCCCCUGAUUCUUGACGACGGCUCCAUUUGCACUAGACCUCCGGCUAGAUUUCAAUUUGAUGCCUCAUGGUUGUCGGUGGAGGGCUUUGCUGAUAUGGUUGCAGCGAAAAUCUCCCAAUCCAUCUCUUCCAACUCCCGCUCAUUUGGGCCUCUGGAUGAUUGGUAGUCGUGCUCCUAUGCCUUGCGUAAAUUUCUCAGAGGUUGGUCUCGUAACCAUGCGGCGGAGGAUCGUCGCACCAAAGCUUUUCUACUAGGCUCUCUAACGAUGGCUGGGCCGUUCGUUAUAAUCUUGAGGCUGCUUUAAUGCAGUUGCACCUCCAGGCUGAGAUUUACUGGCGCCAGCGGGGCACUCUUAAUUGGACUCUUAAAGGGGACUCUCCUACAACCUAUUUUUUUGCCAUUGCGAACGGUAGGCGUAGGCGCUGUGAUAUUAAUAGCCUGCUGAUUAAUGGUGAGCAUUCUACUGAUCAGUCUGUUAUUAUGGCUCAUGUGGUGGAUUUCUUUUCUUCGUUGUUAGGGGCUAAACCUCAAUCGGGCUUAUCUAUUUCUCCCCACCUUUGGAGCUCUGGUCUUAAAAUCACCCCCGAGGAGAAUGCCUCCUUGAUGAUUCCGCUCUCUGAUCAGGAAAUCUGGGAUGUGGUUAACUCUGCUAAUCCUAAUGCUGCCUCCGGGCCAGACGGCUUCUCCAUUCCUUUCUUUCGGAAAUUCUGGCCCCGGUUGAAACAGUUGGUGUGUAACGUUAUCCAGGGUUUCUGCCUUGGUACUGUCGAUAUUUCUCGCCUGAAUUACGCUGUUAUAUCCCUGAUCCCUAAGGUCAAAGGUGCUGAUGUUAUCUCCCAAUUUCGGCCUAUUGCUUUGAUUAACAACUUUGCCAAAUUCCCGGCUAAAGGAUUUGCGAAUCGUUUGUCUCCGGUAGCUCAUAGAGUUAUUAGCCCCUAUCAAUCUGCUUUUAUCAAAGGGUGUUUCAUUCUUGACGGUAUCCUUUCACUACAUGAGAUUGUUCAUGAUCUGCAUGUGCGGAGAGCUAAAGCGAUUAUUCUUAAGUUAGACUUUGAAAAAGCGUAUGACUCGGUUAGCUGGCCCUUCCUCAAGCAGGUCCUCCUUGCUAAAGGCUUCGACGAUGCUUAUGUUCAUCGUAUCAUGCAGUUGGUCUCCGGUGGCCAUACUGUCGUUGCUGUUAAUGGCUUUGUUAGCAAUUUCUUUGCGAAUGGCAGGGGCCUUCGUCAAGGGGAUCCGGCCUCCCCUGUUCUUUUUAACUUUGUGGCCGACGCCUUCUCUUGCAUGCUCUCUAGGGCGGCCCGCUGUGGGCACAUCGCUCCUGUGGUCUCCCAUUUACUUCCGGAAGGUGUCUCCCAUCUACAAUAUGUGGACGAUACAAUCAUCUUGGUGGAGUUGGAUGACGCCUGUAUUGCCAAUCUGAAAUUCAUCUUGUUGUGUUUCGAAGCCGUUUCGGGUAUUAAGAUUAAUUUCGCCAAGAGUGAAGUUCUGGUGACGGGUGUGGAUGGGGCGGAAGCCUUGCGGGUUACCAGGCUCCUUAACUGCUCUCUAGGCUCCUUCCCCUUCAAGUAUUUAGGUCUUCCUAUAUCUCCUGGAAUGCUUCAUGCGAAAGAUUUCGCUUCGGCGGUUGCUAAAGUGGGGAACAGGGUGCUCCCUUGGAGGGGUAGAUAUAAUACCAAUGCUGGCAAAGUGGCUCUAAUCAACUCUUGCUUAUCCUCUCUCCCUAUGUUUCUUAUGGGCUUUUAUCUUCUCACGAAUGGCGUGCAUGCUGGCUUCGACAAACAUAUGGGUGCCUUCUACUGGAACUCCGCUGAUAAGAAAAGGAAGUAUAGGCUGGUCAAGUGGCAACUUAUGUGUAAGCCUAAAAACCUUGGGGGGUUAGGCAUUAUUAAUACUCGGGUGAUGAAUAUCUGUUUGCUUAUCAAGUGGUGGUGGAAAAUUAUGACUGUUGGGGCCGAGUCGUUGUGGUUUUCGAUUCUUAAGGCCAAAUAUUUCCCUCACUCCAACCCGCUGUUUGCUUCCGCGCGGCGUGGUUCUCAGUUUUGGAAAGCUCUUGUUAAAGUUAGACCGAUUUUUCUGGAGCAUGUUAAGUUUUCUGUUGGUAAGGGGUCGGUUGUUCGCUUUUGGUUGGAUUGGUGGUCUGGGGAUGCCCCCCUAGCCGUGAGCUUUCCGGUUUUGUUUUCUUACUGUCCUAAUCCGCAGAUCUCCAUCGCGGAGGUGGCUGCUAAUAAUUGGGAUUUGGCUUUUCGCCGGACCCUGUCUCCUGAAGAGUUGGAAGAUUGGCAAAGUCUCUUUGCCCUCUUCCCUGUGCUCUCGGAGUCGGUCGACGCGGUGAUUUGGCCUCAUGCGGCUUCUGGUAGAUUUUCGGUUAAGUCGCUGUAUUCUAGACUUAUUGGUGGUACUCCUUCGGCUCGAUUCUCUUGCGUUUGGAAAUCCAAGGUUCCUCCUAAGAUUAAGAUUUUUCUCUGGCAAGCCUUCUGUGGUCUCCUCCCUACUGCUGAUCAGAUCAAAAAACGCAAUGGGCCGGGCUCGGAAUUCUGUAAUUUAUGUGGGGCCUUGGAAAACUCUGAUCACAUCUUUUUUAAUUGCGUACUUGCCAAAUUGGUUUGGUGCUGCGUUAGAUCUUGGCUUCGGGUUCCCUGGAAUCCCUCCUCUUUCUCUGAGAUUCGAACCCUUGCCAAAGCCUUGGUUGGGGUCACCAAGAGGGUAUUUUGGGUCGGCUUGGGAGCUCUUUGUUGGGCUCUCUGGACCAUUAGAAACAAAUUUACUAUUGAGCAUACCUUCCCAUCUAAGCCUGCUGAUGUUCUUUUCAAAACAUGUAUAUUCUUGCAGCAGUGGAGAUCAUUGACUAAGGAGACUGAUCGGGACGCCCUGGACCUGCUCAUCGACAAAAUUCGGGCUUCGGCUUCUCAGAUCUCCGGGAGGAACCCUGUCGUCUAAUCCUGGUGCUGUAGUUUGCAGAGAUUAGGUCUUUCUCCUUCUCCGGCCUGUGCGCCGUGUAUGGCAGUUGCGUGUAUCUUUCCUGCUUUGGGUACUCUCAACCUUCUCCUUAUGUGUGUGUUAUCCUGUGAACUUGCGGUAUCCGUGACGCUGCCUUGAGGCUUUAUUUAUAAAGUCGGGCCUUGGC